CAUGCAGGCGGUCGGACGCGUUUCCAGUGACAGCGGGUGGCUUACCUACCCGAGUAUUGGAAAGACGGUUUGACUUGAGGACUCGAGAGGGACACGGAAUUCCGGGUGGAGUGGUGAAAUGCGUAGAGAUCCGGAGGAACAUCGAAGGCGAAGGCAGUGUCCUGGCGAGUGACUGACGCUGAGGUGCGAAAGCUAGGGGGAGCGAACGGGAUUAGAUACCCCGGUAGUCCUAGCCGUAAACGAUGACCACCAGGUGUGGGAGGUAUCGACCCCUUCUGUGCCGGAGUUAACACACUAAGUGGUCCGCCUGGGGAGUACGGUCGCAAGAUUAAA
rnacentral:rRNA from 1 species